UUAUCCUUGUAAAAGUCUGCAUUUAUCAUAUAUGAAGCACCAUCGGGUGAAGGGGCCGGAGCCUUUGUCCCUACUAAAUCCGCCCCCGAGAAGUGCAGGAUAAUACAAAUGUAUAAUGCAUGCAUUCCUCUGUUGUCCUUGACGUCAUUAUCUUUUAUUCAAAAACUAAAUAUAAAUCUUUAAUUUUUCCACCACAUGCAUUUUUCAUCAAUUAUGGCAGAAAUCAAUAAUUAAAUUUGACAUAUAUCGUCUGACAAGUACUUGUUUAACUAGAAAGGUGAAAGAACAUAUCUCGAGACCAAGAUU
rnacentral:lncRNA from 1 species